GUCGUACGAUGAACCACUUCGGUGGGGAUUAGUGGCGAACGGGUGAGUAACACGUGGGCAAUCUGCCCUGCACUCUGGGACAAGCCCUGGAAACGGGGUCUAAUACCGGAUACUGACCCGCUUGGGCAUCCAAGCGGUUCGAAAGCUCCGGCGGUGCAGGAUGAGCCCGCGGCCUAUCAGCUUGUUGGUGAGGUAAUGGCUCACCAAGGCGACGACGGGUAGCCGGCCUGAGAGGGCGACCGGCCACACUGGGACUGAGACACGGCCCAGACUCCUACGGGAGGCAGCAGUGGGGAAUAUUGCACAAUGGGCGAAAGCCUGAUGCAGCGACGCCGCGUGAGGGAUGACGGCCUUCGGGUUGUAAACCUCUUUCAGCAGGGAAGAAGCGAAAGUGACGGUACCUGCAGAAGAAGCGCCGGCUAACUACGUGCCAGCAGCCGCGGUAAUACGUAGGGCGCGAGCGUUGUCCGGAAUUAUUGGGCGUAAAGAGCUCGUAGGCGGCUUGUCACGUCGGUUGUGAAAGCCCGGGGCUUAACCCCGGGUCUGCAGUCGAUACGGGCAGGCUAGAGUUCGGUAGGGGAGAUCGGAAUUCCUGGUGUAGCGGUGAAAUGCGCAGAUAUCAGGAGGAACACCGGUGGCGAAGGCGGAUCUCUGGGCCGAUACUGACGCUGAGGAGCGAAAGCGUGGGGGAGCGAACAGGAUUAGAUACCCUGGUAGUCCACGCCGUAAACGGUGGGCACUAGGUGUGGGCGACAUUCCACGUCGUCCGUGCCGCAGCUA
rnacentral:rRNA from 1 species